rnacentral:rRNA from 1 species
CGUAGGCAGCAAGCGUUGUUCGGAAUUACUGGGCGUAAAGAGUGCGUAGGCGGUUAACUAAGUUUGGUGUGAAAUCUCCCGGCUUAACUGGGAGGGUGCGCCGAAAACUGGCUAGCUAGAGUGUGGGAGAGGAUAGUGGAAUUCCUGGUGUAGCGGUGAAAUGCGUAGAUAUCAGGAGGAACACCUGCGGUGUAGACGGCUAUCUGGACCAUGACUGACGCUGAGGCACGAAAGCGUGGGUAGCAAACAGGAUUAGAUACCCUGGUAGUCCACGCCCUAAACGAUGCAAACUUGGUGUGCGCCCUUCAUUGGGUGCGUGCCGUAGCUAACGCGUUAAGUUUGCCGCCUGGGGAGUACGGUCGCAAGGCUG